AAGGAAGGAAGGAAGGAAGGAAGGAAGGAAGGAAGGAAGGAAGGAAGGUAUUGGAGGUACUUCAGGUGCUAGAGAAAUUAUCUAAUGCAACAACUAGUGGAGGACCCCAUGCUGAAGCAGAUGGAUAUUUCCUGAAGGAAUUUCGGCCUGUGGCAGAUUUUGUCCUGAAGGACUACAGUCUGUGGAGAGGACCCACACCAGACUGAGGCAAAAGUGUGAGGAGGAAUGAUCAGUAGAGAGAAGCCAUUAACCCUCUAAUUCCCACUCCUGUUAUAUUGCUUGUUGGGGACAUCCUGAAGCUAGCAAAGAAGGAACAAAUUGAGCCCGGAGGCAGAAAGGCGCUGUUUUCAUAUUUUUCUUGUUUGUCAUUAUGGAAAUAUAAUAUAAUUAUCUAUUUAUAAGUUUCCCUAAAUUGAGUCUAUUUUGUCUGAUCCAGUAUGUGGCAAUACGCAAAAGAGAUGACCUUCUGAGAAAGUUGGAAGCCGAUUUCCUGCGGGCAAGGGAAGGUAUCAAAGUAAAAGUGGCUGAGGUGGAGCACCUUGACAGUGUGGUCAAGAAACUGAAAGCCAGUAUCCAGGACACACAGAAAGAAAAGAAUCAGACAGAGACAGCAACCACCAUACUGAGAACUGAGAUUCAGCAGCUAAAUCAGUAACUGCAGGGUGUUCAUAAGCAGUGCAGAAAGACAGGCAAAGAACUUGCCAGUCAAGAUGAAAAACUUCUUCUAAUGGAAUCCAGCUUGAAAGCAGCUAAGUGAGCAAAUAGCAGAAACCGUUCACCAAGAACAGAACAGUAGAAAAUCACAGACGGAGAGCUGAAGACCCUGAGAAAAUUUAUUCUAACUUCUGCAGAAGAAAUUAGUGAUUACAAAGACAUGAUGGUGUGCACCAUAUGGAGCUACAACUGAGGCAGAAGCUCUCCCAUCCAUGACAAAAGGUUCACUAUAUUUACCAUUGUCAAACUUAUGACUGAAUAAUUCCUAUUUUGUUUAAAAGAAUCAGGAAAAGUGUGGAGGACUGAAAGGUAAAAAUAACAGCAUCAAAGAAAGAAGGCAAGUAGCGACUUUCUCAAGACCUCAGUGGCCACUGGUCCUGGAAUAAGCAGAAAUCGUCUCAAUCAGGUGAAGAACUAGAAAAUUUGAAGUGUGUAAGUUUCUUCCUAUUCAUGGAAAAUUAAUGUAUUAUUUAGCAAACUGAUUAAUAGAUUUUAAUGGCAUUUUAGGUUCCAGACUUUCAAACAUAUGUGAAUGCAAAUCACAGUUCACAGUUUUGUAAAACCAAUUACCCUAUAAACAUGUGAAAAGGUGUUCACAGGCUUAAAAGAUUGAAGACAAAAACUUUUUUAAGGUUCACUUAUGAUUUUGUUUUGUCGUUCUGAUGUUUUAUUAUAAAAGUAGUGAAUUAUCAUGUAAGGAUUACAGGAAAUCUCUGAAACAUCUGACUGUGUUUUAAUUUAGAUUAAUUUAAUAGAAAUCCAAAUUAGUGUUUGUGUGUGUGAUUUAUUUAAAGAACUGGGAAAGGGUAUUCCCUCUUUUGAACCUUUGUGGUGAUAUUAAAUAAGAUCAAAGUAGUAUUUCAGUAAGUUUUAUAUGUUCUAGGUAGAUAAUCCCCUAAAUGCUUAGGAUUCCAUGCAUAGCAUGUUAACUGAAUUUCUUGAUUUUCUAUUUAGUUUCUUGCUCCUUUUCUAUUUUGACAUAUCCAUGCUAAGGCUUCUUACAGUCAUGGUAAACUUUUCAUUAUGAAUUAGGCAAGGUAAAUUUUAAAACUUUUAAGAAGUAAAACACUUGAAACAUUUUAAAUGUUUAUUAAAUAAAUUAGAUGCAAAAUAUAACAAAAUGUUUCUUAGAGCAUUUUUUUACACUGCAAACAUUCAGGACUAAUUAUAGUUCCCAGUUUUAAUCAGAGAAAUCUAAGGUUUAUUGUGACAUAGCUGAAGGCUGCUUGACUCCAUUACUUUAUCUUUUUCUCUAAGAGAAAUUGUAAAUCUGAAAUAUUUUAAUAAGCUUACGCCAUAUAGUUUGAUUUUUAAUUUCUAACUAUUACUGGGAAAAGUAAGACAUUAAGUAAACAAAAUUAUGUGUUUAUUGACUUUCACAUUAUGUAUGGCGCAAAUUUAAAAAAAAAAAACAAAAAACCAAACCCAAAAAAUUAUUAUGUGUUCAAGUAUAGGGUAUGAUCAUAUAACAUUUGUGUCUUCCCAGACACUAUAGUUAUGACUGAGAAAAGCUGAAUUGAUUGCAAUGGAAACCUUCCUGACAGUAAGUAUUUGCAGUGGCAGACAAAAUUAUUUAAGAAAACAGAAUAUAAAAUUAAGAAAGAUAGAUGGACUCAUAAGAGUGAAAUACAAAUAGUCUGAAUCAGGAUUGAUUUCAACAUAAUGUGGUGGAGGAAUCCCCACUUAUUGAUCAACUUUAAAGCCCAUGCACAGCACUUAAAAAGAUAAAGUAAGCAAGGUCAGAUAAUCAAAGCAUUUAAAUAGUAAAAACAGCAACUGCCACUGUAGACUGCUAAAAUAAAUCCAUAAUACAAAUUGCUUUAGCAAAAAGUGGAUGAGCAGCUGAUCUUCCUAUUGAACUUUUAUACUGUUCAGUGACCACACUGGGGAGAGGAUUGGAAGAAAUGCCUUGAAGAUCAAUAUUGAGUGAGAGGUAGCAGGGAUUCAUUCUGAACAUGAAAGAAUUACAAGUAUGAGAAUAGAGAUCCUGAGGAAAUGUCAUCAAGAAAGGACCAUUCAUUUAAAAUAUAACACAUACUAUAGGAACAUAGUAUUAGUUGAUAUCCUGUUAUGCUCUUUGAACACUCAAAGUUUAAUAAAUCAGAAUUUUGCUUAUUGAAAGCCACAAAAAAAGACUAAUGAUUUUAAUGAAAUUGGCUCUAAGAAUUCAGUAACCUCUGUCUUCAAAACAAUGGGAAUUUAAAUAUUCUGAAUUAGUAUGGUGUCCAGGUGAGGCUGCUGCUUUCCAGCCAUAUGUAUGUCAAGUUUUUGCUGAAUGGGAAUGAUGAACCAGAAUAUUGUAUUUUUUCUCUUUUUUGUUUUCUUUUUCGAAAAUCAACAUGCACCUGUGAUUAACAUGUUUAAUGUAAGUUCUAUUUCUUAAGAUCUAUUUGAAAUAUUAUUUUUGCAUGCAUUUUAAUUAUUCUGUGGAAACUACAAUGCUGUAAUGCAAGUGCUUCAAAUUUCAGUUUUUCCUAAAGCUGUAUAGGAUUUUCAGUUUAAAAUAGGUGUUAAAAAUAUAUUUUAUUUAUACAUUAAUUUUUUCAGCACUAUUCAAAGAAUUUGUGAGAAAGAAAUACUAGAGGUGGAAGUACUACAAUAGCUCAUUGUUUCAAAUAUGUUGUUUUCAUUCACUGUUUCAUUAUAUCAUUGUAUGAGAAACACUGCAUUUUCAUGGAUAUAUUACCCUUUAAAAAUGAAGAAUCCUUCUUUUUUCUUUAUUUUUGACUGCUAUCUUCCUUUACUUUCAGGCUCAUUAUUCUACCUAUAAAAAUGGUGUUGUUGUUAGAAAUUAAUAAUUCCAGGUGUGACUGUAUUUUAAACAAUAAAAAAGGAACACUAAAACUGGAGUGUUUCAAGGAUAUAGAAAAUAUAUUUAAAAAGAAAAAAAAGUAAAAUGAGCAUUUGUGCUCUCUUGGAGGAUCUUUUUUGACAAAAUACUUUAGAGUAACUGAUUCCCAAAAUCAUGAAGGUUUUUCGCUGUGGUAACUGUACCAUGCGCACUCUUGUAAUGCAUGAUUAUUUACAACUACUACUGGCUCAAUUUUUGCUGUAUGAAUUGCUGAUUACAGCAAUUUCAGUGGUAAAAUUGUGAAAAACCAUAUUCAUAGUUGUCAAAGAAAGGUCAGCUUAUUUGCAUUCAUUAGGAACUUGGAGGGCCAUACAACAUGCUUUUCCUCUGGGAUUCUUAUAGUUAUUGAUUUGUAUACAGCUGUAGGAAAAAUUAGUUGGAAUUAUAUUUCAGUUACUACUGGAGGCUGGAUAUUAACAACAAUGGAGUUCUACAUAAAAAAAAAAAAAAUUAAAACCAGCAAAUUAACUAAUUGUAAUUUUUAAAAAUUAAAAUUGUUAUACUUAGCUUUUAAAAAAUAAUCUCAUUUGUAUAGCUGGAGGAAAUCUUUUAGUGAACUUUUGUUAAUACUCACAGAACUUUUAUUUGCACAAAAAUGCUUAGGAACAUAUAUUAGUAUGACAUAAAGUAUUCAAAACUUCCUGUUUAGUAGUAGUCUUUAUAGAUGCUUAUAAACCAAGAAAAUAUUCAAUCAUAUGCUUAGCCUUCCUUAUAUAGUGAAUUUUUCUCUUAUAACGGUAUAAUUACUAACCCCAAAAUGUAAUUUAAAAAUACACAUAAUCCUGUCCUAAGAAAUAAUCUUAUGUUUUUACUCUAGUCAUUAAAGACCUUUCAAGACCAAGAGCUAUGUAAAAUCAUAAGGAAAUCUUAUAGCCAUCCUUGACUGCUAUCUCCUUAGGUAAAAAAAAAUAAAAUAUGGCUGAUGUCAUCAAAAAAUGGCUACAUGAGUAACAUACCAACAAUGUGAGGUCAGGUAAAGCACAUCGUCAAACUGUGACAAACCUUUGUCUAAAUGGAGAGAACUUCAGAUUUUCAGAUAGCAAUGAUGCUCAGGUGGUAUGCAUUUGAAACCUUGUUUGUAUUACAUUGAUAAAUACUGUACAUGAUUAGUGCAUAUUUCUGUGAACUUUUAACACUUUAAAUGGAUUAGAAUGUCUUAUUUUGAUCAUAUCCAUAUUGUUCAUUAAGAUAAGAUUAGGUCCUUAAAAAAUGUUUGGCUUGUUUCCAUUACACUCAAAAAUGUUUAAAGUAGAAAAUAUAGAAUAAAGUUUUUCAUAGUGCGCAUAUAUAACACAUGUUUGAGAUUAAUCAAAUCAUGGUCACCUCUAAUUAACAGCAGAGAGCAAUUCCAACAUGGGACAGGGCCAGAUGACUAAGAAAUGAAGCCUAUAUUUAAAAGAUGCAGCAUGCAAAGAAAAGAAAAAUAGGUUAUGACUUAUGACUUAAAAUUACUGCAAAGUUUUCAAACCUGUGGUUCUAUGCAUGUGGUUUAAACAUUUUAUUUUGCUUUUUUUUUUAUUUAGCUGGGCCAAAAAUUUUCAUAACCCUACAGUUUUGUAGGUAAAUACAGUUUUCUUUCAAAGUUAAUUCUUUUCAUUCUUCAUAUUUAAUAGAUUAAAAAAAAACAAAAACAAACCUGAUCCUUGGAACUUCAGAUGAGAAGCUUUUUUAUUUCAAAUUCUAAAAAUGCCUGAUUUGUAUGCCAAAAUUCUGUCAUUUACCAUGAUGCUUGCUUAGCACCACAGGAAAAGCAGUGAUCAAGGACAUACAUUGAAGUAAGUUGAAUCUUUCAUCCUGGUUUUUUUUUGGUUUAGUUUGGUUUGGUUUUGGGUUUUUUUAUGUUGUUUUUUUUUUUUGUUUUGUUUAGUUUUAACAGGAUGUUUUAUAGGAAGUUUUAUGAUGAAGAUGAAAACUCUAGGAAAAGAAAUAUCAUUGUGCAAUGAAGACAGCUGGAGACUUAGACACUUUCCCGUCCUUACCUUCAGACAUAAUGAAGAUACUACCUCCAAACUUUUCUGAAUAUCCAGUGUGAGAUGCUGCUGUCUGAUCUGUGGCAGACUGAAUUUUGCCAAGAACAACUGUAGCCAAUGUUAAUUUGCUUUGAACAGUUAAAGGUCUUCACAAAGAAGCAUCGACAAAAGACAUGAGAAAACAAUGUUUAGUUGUGUCCUGUCUGUGACUGGGAGUUUGUGCCAAGGUCAUUCUCAUUGCAGUGAAGGACAAUAGCUCCUGAGUACAUUCAUGUUUUUCUGUCUCUGAGUGAUUCAAUAACUGCUAAACGUGCCUAUGAAAAGGAAAACUCUACAAGAAAGACUAGAGAGAAUUCUUUUUAGAUCAACAUGGAAUAAUGUUAGUUCAAAUUGUUACUUCAAAAUAAAAGAGAAAUUAAUCUCUGUUCUCAUAUAUUCCAAAUGAGAACUCUUAUAGAAAACAUUUCACAUUUUAUUUUUGCUUAAUGUGAGACUUCUUAUCUUCUUUUACCCCAUAAUCCCAAAUCCAUUUACUUCAGCUGCCUAUGUGUAAAAUGAUAAUAGAGGUGUAUUCUCAUAUCAUGGAUGCUGAUAAUUAUGAAACACUCAGACACCAUUGGGUUGAAAAUCAGUGGCUUUAUUUAUGUUGUCUGUUUUGUUGUGUCACAAUGUGAACUGUGUUUCUUAGUUUAAGUCAUGUAAGCUGCUGUAUAUACAUUAUCUGUAGAUUGCAGAUUCAGAAUUCACCAUUGAACAGACUAGAAGCUUGUUCCAGGAUCUUGUUUUGGACUUAAUUAUUUUGUGCAGUGUCAGUGAUUUAAAAAAAUAAUUACAUGAGUACUAAUUUGUAGGUUUUGGAAAUUCAGAUAGACUGAAAGAUAUUUUUUUAUCCAUAUCAGCACUUAGAUAUUGUACUUUAUACACUAAAAGAUAAAUGAGAAGAAAUUAUAAGAAAUUACAAUAUUUAAGUAUUUGCCCACUGAGUGAUAAAAGAGAUCAUACAAGCUGGAUGUUUAAAGGAAGGGGUAUUGCCAAAUGAUAAAUAUAAAAAUGUGUAAAUAUGCUUACAUAGGUUGUACAGAAAUUAUUACACUUGGCAACAUUAAUUCUGAUGUAUUGAGAAUGCUGAAUAUUUGAAUUUGCCACAGUAAUGUUUUUUCAAAGUAAAAUCAGCAUCAUAGUCAAAGAGAUUUCAAGAGAAACCCAACUUGAAAGUAAAAUUGGAUUCGCCUUUUUAAUAUGGAUAUUUUUCAGAAGGAAGACCUGUGAAAGGGUUCCUUGCUCGGUGUGCUGUAUUUUCUGACUUAAUCAGAUCAGACAAAGAUUUGGCAAGCAGUUUCUCUAGCAGGGAAGCAACAAGGUAGCAAAAAACCCCAGGAUAUGUAAGGGCCAUAGCACAGCACUGAUCUCCAAGACACAAGAACUUUUCAGCAGAAGGGAUGUAAAACCUAGAUGAUAGCUCGCUCACUCUGCAUGCGCAUCCUCUCAUAUAUUUAUUUGUUAAUGUCUUCCUUAGAAAUAUAGAUAUAAUUUUAAUUUACAUGUUUCAAUAUAAUUUGGCCUUGAGCAAAAACCAAGCAAGACAAAUUUAAAUCCAAACAGAGGAAGGUGGGAAAAGCUCUAGGAAACUCAAAAACACAUCUAAUAAUGGAAAAUUUUGUGGAAGAAUGAUAAACAACUGUAGUGGCACCCUGGCAAUCAGUGAAGCUACAAAAACUUGGAUUAUUUUAAUGACAUCAGCUUGCUGAAACUAGUGAGUGUGCAAAGGAUUUUUUACAUAUUGACAUCAAAUGAAAUUGAAAAUAACAAAUUUUAAUUACAAAAAUUUAACCUUGAGGUAAACAUAAUACCGUCUUGCCUAUCAAUUUCAGAAUUGUAUAUUAGCCCUUCAAGGAUAAACAUCAUCAAAAUAAUGCAAAAAUUCAAAAUAAUAUUUUAAAUCUAGGAAAUAACCUUGUUAUUUUCUUGAAUUUUUUUUUUUCAAAAUUGUAGUCAGAGAUUCAUAAGAAGUGGACUUUAAUUUGUCAUCUAUUGCUGUCUUCAGUAUAAUCUAGAACAGCCAGGACCUUCUUCUAGAACCAAGAGGAGGGUUGAAAGAAUGCCAUAAUUUCAUUUGAUUUAACCUUUGAUUUUGAGUUAUUUGAUUUAUAUUAAUUUGGAAUUCCCUUUCAGAUUGAUAUUCAGUUGUCAGAAUUCAUUCUUUCUAAAUCUGGUAUCCCUAAAGAUUACAUGAGAGACCUUCUUAUGGCUAAAGGAAUUUUAGGCCUGCAAAAAACCACUUGAAUGCUUUGAAGUAGAAACUUUUAUCAUCGGAUGUGACAAUACUGAGUCCAUCCUUUUAAUUAUAGAUUUUUCACCAGACUUGAGCGUUCUCUUGUAGAUUGUAGUGUUGACUACUGUUCAUAGUAGCCCACUCAAUUCCUAUCAAAAACAAAAGGAAUUUGUCUGAGUGGCUUGGUUGAUUUUUUUUUUUGGUUUGGUGAGGUACUAGUUUGUUUGGUUGGUUUUUUGUCUGCAGCUGUUGUGGUCCAGUUCAGGUGGUGGGUUAAGAGGAAGGCUACUUGAUUUACUCUGAGGGGUGCAAAGGAAAAAGAACAAAAUUAUCGGGCGGUUCAGUAUCAAACUUUUACUUCCAAACUUUAGAACAUUAAAGGUAAAACAAAGAACCUGGCAAAUUUUAAAAUGCAGCCAUUUUACUUAGACAAGCAAUAAUAAAAAGCAUAAAAUUAAUUUGAGAAAAUGCAUAAAAGAAAAGGAAAAAAAUGAAAGAAAUUAUAAGAUUAUAAAGGUAUAAAAUCACCUCCAAUCGAUGCAGAAAUGAGAUCUGAUUGUUGAAAUUUUGAGGUGUCUUGGUUAAACUGAUAUUGCAGUCUUGAACCACCAGAGGUGAGGGAAGUCUUUACUUUUGAGUGAGAAAAAUAGCUGCAUUAUUUGAUACCUAAUGAUAUUCCUGAAAAAAAAAAACAACCAAAUUUUAAAGAAUACAUGAACAAUAACUGUGGUGAUAACAUCUAACACUUAUCUAGCAAUUUACAUUCAGAGAUGUUUUAUUUUGCCAAGGAUGUGUAAUUUAAGUCAAGUUUAUAAAAGAAUACUAGUAUUUCAUGUAGAUGCAUGUAUAUUCAUGUAUUUAUUGGGGAAUAAAACUGAUUUUUGUAGAUUAGGACUUUGGAGCACAAGAUAGUGAAGUGUCUUGUCUUAAGUAUCAGCAAAGGUAAAAAGAACAAUGCCAUUUGAAUAAGGGAACCUGAAAAAGACAAAUUUAUAACAGCAAAUGAGCAUGGGAAAUCACAGGAGCCACCUAUUCUACAGAAAGUCUCUGUAUGAACUGAGAGACCCUGGAAAAAAGGCAGUGCCUUUUUAAAAUUUUUUUUUCUUUGAGAAAGGGAACAGGCCACUCAGUGUUUAUUAAAAGGGAAAGAAUGCAUGUAAUCUGACAAUAUUUGCAUUCUGUUUUACUCAACUUUAAUUUCCUUGUCCACUCUGGAGGUUUGGAUUAAAUUAAUUUUCUAUUGAUAAAGACAUGUAAACUCUAGAAAACUAGUUUUCUCUGCCUCCCCUUCUCUUACAUAUGUAGUUAUAUAGAGAUUUGUCUUUUUUGUUUGUUUAUUUAUUUUUACUUUUGACUCAACACUGCUGUGUAAAAAUAGUGUAGUUAGAGUGCUUAGACUUUUCAUCCCUGUAAUAUACACAAGAAAGAAAUCAUUGAUAUCAGUGGAACAAUAUAAUAAAACGCUGGUUUAAGUGGGAUACUUUUAGAAAAAGAAAUAUUCUUCAGGAAUGAAAGCCUUUGCAUCUAAAUUAUACCAUGUAAUUUAAACUGGUUUAAGCUUAAAAAUGCAUGAAAAUCACAGAAAAACCGGAAGAAGGGUUUGGCUGGACACUCUGCCAUGUGUAGGACGAGCUUUUAGAAGAGCAGUCUCAGGUGAGAAUUCUCCAGCUGGACUAGGGCGCAGUGAAAAAACUGAUAUAAUAAUAUAGUACUCAGAUAAUAGCCUUGGUACAGUAUUUGAAAUUGAAGCUUAAUAUUUGAAGUAAUGUAAAUGAAUGUUCCUAGCUUAUUAUUCCAUAAAAAAAGGAAAUAUUAAAGAACAUUACUUGUAAAAUUCACUUUCAGCACAAGAUAGUUAUUACUGAAAAUAUUUAGGCAACAUAAAAGAAAAUUAUUUCUUUUUAAAACUCUUUUUGGUGGGAUUCAUCUUUCCUAACUUUAGAUUUCCACUUUAGGUGAAAAUACAGGAGGGAGGUCCCUAAGUUUCCAUUAUGGUUGUUGGAGACUUAAUCAACUCAGAGAGUGGAAUCAAGAGCUGAGCAAACAUCGAGCCACUCAAGUAUUAAAGUGUGUUUUCUGACUAGUCUAAAAAAGUCUCCAGACAAAGAUUCAACCAGGCCUCCACUCAAUGCAAUAGAAGAACACGUGUGCAGUCACACAUAAUCAACUAAAUGGAGAUGUACAAAUUGAUGAUCUGGAGAGGCACUUCCAUUCCUCUAAUCAUCCUGGUGUCCCUCCUCUAGACUGGCUCCAACAGGUCAAUGCUCUUCCUGUGCUAUAUGUGCUGUAAGUUGACAAGCAGGUCUACCGUGGAUUUGCACUUCAUGGUGUAUUUAAUAACUUAUUUGAAUAUAUGGCAGUGUUAAAAUGUAGUACAGUAAGUAAGACUUGAGUUACAUUUUUACUGAAUUAAUUAUUCCAUUUCUAACUAAGGCCUAUACAGAAUAUUUUCAGUUCAGUAGUAACUGUAAUUCAUAACUCACACCCUCUGAAAAAUAAAAAAUUUUGGGGGAAAGUUCUUGAUUUUUUUUUUUUUGUUGUAUUUCAACCACUAUCCUGUGACUGCAACCCAAACAAUUGGGUUUGACUUAGCAAAGUAUCCCUCAGUGCUACAUUAGAGACAUUCUUUUAUCUGUAAUGUUGAUGAACCUAAAAGUUAAUGUUAUGAAUUCUCUGGUUCAUGAAUUCAAGAAGUUUGGUUUUUAGGUGGGUGGCUCACAUCUCUGCAAAGAAAAUAGUUUCACCACCUGCAACAUCUUUGUAAGUGAAGGAAGAGAUCUCUUGUUCGUUGUAACCAAAGAUGCCAGAAUUCCUGCACAAUUACACAACCUUUGUUCUUUUCUUCUCAAGCUCUGCUUCUUGCUGUGCAUAUAUAAAUUUUAGAAAUUUUAUCUCCUCUUCUCAGCACUAGAAGGCUCAGACACUGAAUUAUGUGUGAACAUGAAUAAACUGAUUUUAUACUCCAUUCCCAUGACAAAAAUAAGGGCACUGGGGACUGUAGGACACACACAAAAAAUUUCCAGAGGCUUUCCAAGUCUCACUAUAGCUAAGUUUCUAUGUAGCUUUUAGAAACUAUAUUUUAAGACACUGUAUUUAAAGACAAUGUAUUUAAAAUACAGGGACUGUAUAUUAGUCACUCUAUUUAAACUUAUGAAAAUAAGUUUGCUACUGAUGUUGACUUUUCCAUAUUAGAAGAAAGUACUAGGUAUGUUUGACAUAAUUCAAAUAAUAGAAAAAGUUAUUUCUUUCUGUUAUUGGAAAUUGUGUUUCCAUUCUUUCAUUUGUGUGACAGCUGUAGAGCACAUUUUAUCUUUAAUUACUUUCAAAGGAAAGAGGUGAGCUAUUUGCUCUGUUUUAGGUUUUGAUAUUUGAGUGUUAGAGGAAAUGAAGAAUCACGAGUAGAAUAAUUUACUCCUAUUUACAAAAUCCUAUCUUCUUUUUUUUCUCUUCAAAUUUAUUACUUUUUUUUUCUGUGAUUAAGUGUUCAUUAUUUAAGGAAAUAUGUUCUAAAUUGCUAAACCUAAUCACAGAAACAUUCUGCAAAUAUGGUUAAGCAUCAAAUAACUUUCCAUUGACAUUCUUACAUUCUUGACAUUCUGAUAUUGUUUAUUCUUUUGUUUCUGAAGGAUUUGUGUUCAGUCUGGAUGUUUUAUUUAUUUUCUUGAAAUAUAUUUAUUGUUACAAGUAGUCUAAACUGAGAUAAAAUCCACUUGAUUUAGAUUUUGAAUAAUAACUUGUUUGUUAAAAGAAGGACUUGUUGACUGGCUUGACUAAUUUAUUAAUUUUUCCCCUAAAAUUGUCAUAGAAACUCAGCUGAACCAUAAAUCUGUAGCUGGGAUUUGAGAGAGAUUCCAUUUUGCCACAGAGGAAAGUAUAAACCUGUGCUGUAAUGUAGUCUUAAUGAAGACUCUUUUAAUAAUUUCUCUGUAUGCUCAAAAUCCUUUUGAUGUUGAAGAUUUUUAGGUACUCACUCUCCACUAAGCUGUGGGGCUUGGCAGUAAGGGACAGAACUGCCAUCCUUUUCUUGUAUAAUAGGAUGUACUUGACAGGACAUAAUGAAUCCCUGAUUUGUUUGGAAAAUGUAGUUUUUGUCCUGUCUCACCUGCUUUGGCAUUAAAGUGUGCGAGCCUAUCUGUUCUGUUGUUGCAGCUCUGAGGUUUUGCAGGUGUAAAUCCAUCUGAUUCUAGAAGUGGUUUUAAAAUUUUAUGCUCUACUAUAUAGUGAUAAUUCUUAGGUAGUUGUCACAAUGUCAAUUGCUCCAGCUGUUCUGAAGUCUUUCCAGAGUCACAGACAAGUACACUAAAUUUCAAUGAUAUGGAAAUAUUUUUCACCAGCUACAUAACUCAUUGGUUCAGAUAAUGGAAAACAAACAAACAAAAAAGAACAACCAAAUUCAUAGUGAAGAUUUACUGAAAACUCAUCUGUGCAUCCUUUUAAUGUGAAUGGGCAAUGUCCACCUGUUUUUCAACAUUCACAGCAAGACUGUCAUAUUGUUAAAGACUGAUGUGUUCUCUAUAUCUAAACCUAUAUGUAUAUACCUAUUAUAUAUCUAAUAUAAUAAAUUAUAUUAAUAGUAUAAAUUUAGAAGUUUAUAUAUAUGUAUAUGUGUGUCUGUGUAUAUGUAUAUAUAUCUCCAUAGUUUUAGUUCUAUUGUUACUAUCUUCUAGUUAUGUAGAAAUCAGGUUCAUUAAGACAGUAAGACCUGAUUAGGUUGUCCCAAUGCCCUGACCCAAUAUAAUUGAAUGCUUUCCUCCUUCUGUGAUCUCUGGUUUAUUUCUGGCUUCCAUAACCUAUCUACUUAAAAAAACAAAACUUAGUAGAGCUGUCAACUUUUUCUUGUUGCACUUCUCUCUUUAGGUUCCCUCGACGUAGUCUCAUAAUUUUCUCUUUGUACAACAUAGUAAAAAUUAGAAAGAUGGAGGAAGUAUAAAAUUUACCUCUUUCCUCACAUCUGCAAAUAGGAAAUGAGAUUUUGAACUGAGUCUGAGUGAAAUGAAGUUAACUUUCUUCAUAGCAACCUAUACAAUGCUGUGAUUUGCAUUUGUGGCUAAAAGAGUGUUGAUAACACAGUAAUCAUAUAUCUAUUACAGCAAUAGAGAUAUGCAAUGCAGCACCAAGGCUUUCUUUCACCACAUCAUGUUCUUUCCGAAUAAGCUUGGGGUGGACAAGAAUUUGUGGGUGAACAUAGUUGAGACAACUUAACCAGACUGACCAUAUGGAUAUUCCAUACUGCAAGCUGUCAUGCUCAGCAGUAAGAAGCUCAGGGAAAAAAUAGUAGAAAGAGGGAAGUUUGAGACUGUGGUCUUUAUUUUACCAAGCAACUGUUAUGCAUACUAAGGGCUCUCCCUCCCAGGAAGUAGAAAGACUUCUGCCUAAUAAUGGGAAGAACUAACAGAAUUUUUUUUCUGCUUUGGUCCCUUAUGUGGCAUUUGCUUAAUUUAUUGAACUGUUGUUAUCUUGAUCCAUAAGCCUUCUUGCCUUCCUUCUGUUUUGAUCCCAUCCUGUGGAAGAUGGGAGGGAGCAAGAGCCAGGCAUAGUGUCUGGCAGGGAUUUACCCACCACGGAGUUUACAUGGGCAGACAGGGGGACUACAUAAAUGUAAGUACACAAACACAAACACAUAUAGAUAUGGAUAAAUGGAUUAGUGUUGUGUUCAUUCUACAGUUUUUGAAAUUACUAAUGGUAUAGUGAGAAAAAGUCACAUAAUAAAUUAAUAUCUAUAGAAAUGGGAACACAUUUUUCCACCUGAAAAAAACCCCAAAACAUUAAAAAUAUUUAUAGAUCUCUCUUUGCAUAAAAAAAUCUGUGACCUGAAAAGGGCACUUGUUCACACUGUUGGUAUGAGACUUAGGUCAACAUCUUUUAAGUAGCUACAGAAUAUCUCAAAUCUUUUGAAAAUAAAAAUCCAAUGGAAGUUUCCUGUGGUGUUUAUCUUAAAACCAGAGGUAGGAGAUUAACAAAGCAAACAAAUCAGAAAAUACUCAAAAGGUCAGACCACAUACUCCUUAACUGUCAGAGCACAUAUAUAUCUUAAAAUAUGUAUGCACAUAUAUGUGCAUUUACUACACUACCAAAAAUGUUUUUGUACAUUUGUUCUUUUGUGUUAAUAGAAUGGAAAUUUGAAAGAGAGGUGAAACCUGUAUGACAUAUCUGUCAAAAUAUUCAUUACAAACAAAACUCUUCACACUUUUUAACAGUAGAUGUUAUUUUAUGCAGAAGUUUUGAUGUCAGCAUGAUUAUCUCUUUGUCAUUCCUAGCUUGUAAGUACUCUUUUUGCCUAAUCUGACAGCAUUCAUUCUUCUUCUCUAACUUUUAAAAUGUCUAUUCCUUCAGAAAAGCUACCAUUCUGUUGUCAAGUAGAUUUUUGCAGUAGUAGUUAAAUCAUUACUGACCUUUUCUAGAUUGUCUACAAUGUCCCUUAUUUAACAUGAUUAACACUAUGCAAUUUAUUGAUCAUAUUGAAUUUUAUUUCAUUGUAUCUUUUAUGUUCUGCAUAAUAAUUAAAGUGAAGCUUAUGUUGUAAAUUUAAUUUUUAUCUCACAAUAAUUUAUUCCUGAUGUAUACUUUUUUCUUCCCCCCCCUCUAAUUUCUUUAUUAUUUUUUAGAAUUAAGAAGCCAUUAAAGAAGAUGGCAAGAGACAUAAAUAUGAAAAUCGUAGAAUCAUAGAAUCAUAGAAUCAUGGAACAGUUUGAGUUUGAAGACAUUUUUACUGGUCAUCUAGUUCAAACUUCCUUUGCAAUAAGCAGGGACAUCUUAAACUACAAGAGGUUGCUAAGACUCCUAUCCAAUCUGACCAGUAAUAUUUCCAGUGAUGAGAUAUACACCACCUCUCUGGGCAACCUGCUCCAGGGUCACACUACCCUCAUUGUAAAAUACUCCUUCCUUACAUCAAAUCUAAGUUGACCUUCUAUGUGUUUAAAACCAUUGCAUCUUGUCCUAUUGCAACAGACCCUGAGAAAAUGCUUGUCCACAUCUGUCUCAAAAAGAUUUUUAAGUACUCAAAGGCUACAAUGCGGUUUCCCCAGAGCCUUCUCUUCUGCAGGCUGAACAACACCAACUCUCAGACUUUUCUCAUAGAAGAGAUAUUUCAUCCCUCUAAUCAUGUUCAUGGCUCUCCUCUGAAUUCACUCCUACAGGUAGAUAUCAUUCCUGUGCUGAGGACACCAGAGUUGGAUUCAGUAUUCCAGAUGAGGUCUCCCAAGAAUGAAGGGGAAGAAUCACCUCCACACACUUGCUGGCCAGCUUUUCUGGUGCAGGGUUGACUUUCUGGACUGCAAAUGCACAUUGCCAGCUCAGGCCCACCCUUUGGUGCACCAGGACCCUUAUCAGAAGAACUGUUCUCAAUUCUCCAACCUUUAAAAUUAUUGAAUUUGAUCUGCAUAAGAUCCAUUAGACAUCCUCUGUGCAUGAGUUAUUGCCUAACUGAGAAGCUAGCAUAGAAAAUUGUUAUGAUAUUUUCUCAGUGUUGUAUUUUGGGAAAUUAUACCUUAAAGUUGUAUCAUCCUGAAGAGUAUAAAUUGAAUCAGGGUAAAAAAACUGGAAAUGGACACAAGCAAUAUUGUGUAUUAAAAAGCAAAUGCAGGGAAACAUUUUUUGAGCUCAGGGAAAUACUUUUUUGAGCUUUAUUUGACAAAAUGGCUCAGCACAGCUUAAAAUAGUAUGAGAGAAGUUCUGAAAUGGCACCUGUCUGCUUAUCAAUUUGUAAUAUUGACAGAACAUAGAUUUGUAGUAUGCAGAGUUGACAAUUUCCAACCAGAUGUUGAAGCACUGAUCUACAUGACAGGAAUUGUGAUCAUUAGUUGCCAUGCUUGAAAAGGAUGUGGACAGAUUCAAUGUGGUUAGGUGCAAUCAGUCCUGAAAUUAAUGCAUAAAUGGAAGAGACACUUUUUCAUUAUUGCCUACUUUGGGGGAAACAGUGGGUGCACUACUGUCAGAGUUCAGACUGAUAGAUAUUGAUACAAAUCAUUUUUAUAUGAUCUGCCUAUUUAUUAGAAUUGCUUUUCUGCUCUCUAUAUGGAACUCCAUGAUGCAUUACAUUCUGAACUUCCUAAUGUUCAGAUUGCUAUUCUCAUUGCAAGAAAUAAUGAAAUGGAUUCAUUACUUUAUUCUUAAAAUAUUUUGAUUUAUUUUAGGAUAUACUUUCUUCAGGGAUUUCAUAUUCCCUUUUGCUGUCUAGUUAAUUUAUUUUAUUGUAGAAGGGAACAUAUUAUACAUAUUUUGAGGACAAAAAAUUCAACAAAUAUAUUUAGCUUAUUCAUGCACACAAACGAAACAAGGACAAAGACCUGAGAAGAUACAAAUUACUACUAAUGUUUUCAGUAUUAGCAAACUCAAUAAUAUUAAUGGGAUGAUGAACAGAGAGGAAUUAAGAUUUUUUAGUUGCAUCUAUACAAAAGAAACAAUUUUUUGGUAUAGUUUUAAAUUUUCCUUUGAAAUUAUGUUUUGCAAAACAUGAUUCUCUCACUUUGAAUCUAGAAAUGAAAAUUCAAUCAAAUAAUAAUCUAUUAGUACCUCAAAAUUUGCAUAUGUGGGGGAUUCUAUUUUAUAUAUUUAUCUUUUGAAUUCAGAAGAUGAAGCUGUAAAAGCUGAAAGAUAUUACUGUGAGUUCUCUGGACAUAAAGAUAUUAAAAUGAAAUUAACACUACUACAGUGAUACAAACUAUCUGAUUAAAAAUGAUUUAUUAGUCUAAGCCUGCAGCACUACUCCUGGGCUUCAGGCCAGUAUCCCUCUGGAGAGUUAUACUUGUGGAGGAAAAGAAGAAAAAAUAUCCUUCACUGCUAAUUUUAAAAAUAUAUCAGACUAUUUUGAAGAUUAGAACACGAAAAGUAAGAGCAGGAGGGCAAAAUGCUGGUAAGAUAUACAAACACAAAUUAAUGUCAUUAAUGUAAGCCUGAGAACAACUGACCUCUGAUAUUUUCAAAUGGGUUUGGGUACUCGAACAUUACCUUCAUCUCUGCAUUAUUUUUAGAGAGAGGCUUGUACACGCGUUUCUUCCAAAUUCCUCCUAUGCCUUAUUUCAAAUGUAGAAUAUUUGCGUUAUUACCCUUUAUCUCUCUUGCUGCUUCAAUAGUGCUUCUUUUGUCAUGUCACCUUAGAUCUUAGAUGUAUAGAGACAUCACUUUUUAGCUUUUUUAUUUGCUUAGAGUUUUUUCUGGGACAGGUAAGGUGUUUUUCUUUGUACAACUUCAUUAAAUAAAUACCUGCUUAGAAAUACGUCCUGAAAAUAAUAAUUGCAAAUGAAGCCAGGAAGUCAGCUUUAUCCUGGGCCCAACUUAAAUGCCUCUAACACAUACUCGGGGAAUAAACCAGAGGAGUUACAAAAAUACAUUCACCUGCAGGGCUAUGAUCUUAUUGUCAUGGAGAUGUGGUGGAAUGGCUGCUGUGGAAUGCAAGGAUACAGGCUCUUUAGGGAGGACAGACAAAGAGGGGGUGUUGCCUUCCCUGUCAAUGACCAGCUGGAGUGCAUGGAAUUCCACCUAGGGAUGGAUGAGCAGCAGCCUGAGAGUUUAUGGGUCAGGAUUAAAGGGAGAGCAAGGACAGGGGACAUUAUUGUGGGGGUCCAGGGCAGGCCAGUCAACAGAAGACUGAAAUUCUGAGGCCCCUUACAGACAAAUAGGAGCAGCCUCAUGUUCACAAGCCCCUGUGGGGGCCUUCAACUGCCCCAGUAUUACAUCAAUUUUUCUGUGUUGGAGGCAAAACAAAGAAAGGCAUAAGCAAGUUCCUGGAAUGUGUUGGUGGCAAUGUCCCUCUCCAAGGACAGCAAGGAGAUGUUGCACUGAACCUUUUUCUCAUCAGCAAGGAGGAGCUGUUGAAGUGGGGAAUGUAAUGUUGAAGGGCAGACUUGGCUACUGUGACAAUGAAAUGGUGGACUUGGAGAUCCUCAGUGAAGUGGGAAGAGCAGACAGCAAGCUCACUACUCUAGACUUCUAGAAAACAAACUUUGGCUUCUUCAGGGUUUUGCUUGGUAGAGUGCUGUGUGAUAAAGCCUUGGAGAGAAGAGUGGCUCAAGAAAGCUUCUUAAUAUUGAUAUAUCACCUUAGGCAAAAAUACCAGGAGGUCUGUGUGGAUAAGCAAGUAAUUCCUGAACAACCUGAAACCCAAAAAAGAAGCCUACAGAGGGUGGAAACUCAGUCAACUAACCUGGGAGGAAUAUAAAGAGAUUAUCCAAGCAGCCAGAGAUCAGGUUAAUAAGCUGAAGUCCUGAUAAAAAUUAGACCUGGCCAAGGGCACUAAUGGCAAGAGAAGGCCGGGGAAAACAUUUCCUUCCUCUACAGAAGGAAACAGGAGACCUAGUUAGCCAGGAUAUGGAGAAGGCUGAGGUAUUUAAUGACUUCCUUGUUUUGGUCUUCACCAGUAAGUGCUCAAGCAACGCCACCUGAGCCAUAAAAGACAAAAAACAGGGACUGGGAGAAUUAAAAACUGCCAGCAAUAGGAGACCAUGUUUGAGACCAUUUCAAGAAUUUGGAUGUCCACAAGUCCAUGAGACCUGGUGAGAUGCAUCUGCAGGUCCAAAGGAAUCCGGCAGAGGAACAGUUAAGGUUUAUUUUUUGCAGAAUUCUUUGAACUAUUUUUUUCCUUUUAUGAUUGGUUGAUUUCCUAGUGCAUGAUGAGUCUCAGUAAUUCAUGAGGUCUGUAUUUUCAGUAUAGCUUGAAGCAAGCAAUCAGAGCUCAUAUGUUGAUGUACUGUGGCAAAACAGUGAAUAGCAAUGCCAACUCGGAUUCCCACAGCCAAUGCAGAUUUGUUGAUGCAGUGCUGAUGAGUUCCUGGGCUAAUGAGAUUUGUUUCUCAGCCACUUCAGCUGGAUGAAGAAUUGUACAAAUAUAAAUCCAAGAUUGACGUACUUAGCACUUGCUUGAUUAUCUCUGAUAAUGUUCUACAUUGUUUAUGAACUUAUUAAAGUUUAUGCUAGAGACAACUUUAUGGACAGUUAAAGCUGGGCUGUGUUGCACCAGCCAGCCUUUUUGCUGUAUGGGUAACAGUCAUCAGUCAUGAUACUGUUCAUUAUCUACUUCACAUCUGAUAGGCUCCUAUUUAAUAUAUACACAGAAAAUCUCAACAGCUGCUGCUAAUGUUGGGCGGUUGUUCUCUAUCAUGCAGUAGCACUGGUCAGCCUCAGAAGUAAAGAAAAAGAAAUAUGAUGUCAGAAGGAUGACUAGACCAAAAAAUGUAGAACCUCUACUUCAGUCACCGUCAUAUUACUGGACUGGGAAUAAAAGUUGCUUAAUUGUGUGACUGGGAACACCCAUCAUAUUUUAGGGCAUAAUAUAUUACACUGACAAGGGCAAUUUAGGAAUAUUUUCUUUCUAUAGAAUAUUUCUUUAUAUCAUGAUUUUUGCCAGGAAAUCUUCCAUUUGCAUGAUACAGUGUUAACAUAUAAAGAAAAAACAGACAGCUGUAUUCUAGGCUGAGAAUGAGUUAAAACAAUAUAAAUAAAGGCAAAAAGAAAUAAAAUUAUGACACUGAUACAGGGAACAAGAUUUCUGGUACUCCCUUUGAAAGAAAUAUUGGCUCUGCCUUUGAAUGUUUUCCAAGGCUGCAAUAGCAAGUAAAUCAUAACAUCAAGUUUCAUAAAGAACAAGGCUAAUGUUACUUUCUAGCCUAAGUGAGAAUGAGAUCUACUCCAAAUGACAUUAUUUUUAUCAUCAAGAUCAGGAUUGAGCAACUUCCUGAAAAUGUUUUUGGCUUGAUUUAAAACAAAUUAUUCAUUAACAGCUUUCUUUAGAGGGAGAACAUGGAAGAAAACACUGAACUGGUUUAUAGUUUCCAGCAGCACAGACAUCCAGAUUUCAAGAUUUUGUGGACCUGUUUAGGUGUAUAUUAUUUCUCUCAACUGAGGUCUUUCCCUCUAUGUAAGGCUCAUCCAGGUUUGAAGAAGGAAUCAUUAAUCUGAACAAGCAAAGCAUAGAAUUAAAUAAUGAUGAAUACAUCCAGGAAGUUCCAAAAAUCAUGGGGUUGCAUGGAGAAAUUAUGUCUGCAAUUCAUCUGAAAGAAUAACCUUUAAUGUCUUUUUUUCUCCUCCGCAUAUACUACUUGCUGUAGAAGCUGGAAAGAGACUUUUUACAAGGGCAUGUGCUGAUAGGACAAGGAGUAAAGGCUUUAAACUUAAAGAGGUUAGGCUAAAAUUGGACAUCAGGAAGAAAUUGUUUCCUGUGAGGGUGGGGAGAUCCUGGAACAAGUUUGUCUGAGAAGUUUUUGAUGCCCUAUCCUUGGAAAUGUUCAAGGUCAGAUUGGAUGGGACUUUGAGAAACCUGGUGUAGUAAAAGGUGACCAAGACCAUGGUGAAAGGAGUGGAACUAGAUAGUCUUUAAGGCCUUUUCCAACUCAAACCUUUGCAUGUUUCUGUGAGUUUCCUUUGCAAACUCCUUUCUCCAUGAGUAAAAUUUUCAUAGGACUUUUCCCAUUGCCCUUCCAUAUACCUGUGCACUUUAUUUUUUUUCUCCUUCAACAGACAUUUAUUCCAGGGCAUUCCUUUCUGGAAAAUGUCAUAGAAUCAUAUAUCAAUUUAGAUUUAAUGGGACCUCUGGAAGUUAGGUAGUCCAAGUUACUGCUCAAAGAGUUUCAAUGAGAGUAGAUUGCUGAAGACUGUAUCCAGAGAUAUUUUAAAUAAAGAUCUCCAAGGAUCUCCAAGGAGUAGGGCUGUAACUGAAAAAAUUGCAUUAUAUAGAAAAGAAUGCCUUAAAUAUAUUUCAGCAUUCCCAUGAUACAAGUUCAUAUAUCACUAUACAUCUCCAUACUCUCCAACCAGGAAAGAAGUAUACUGAGAAUGGUAAAAAAAGACAAUAAUAUUAUUGUUGAGACAGCAGUCAUUAACAGCUCAGGGAUUAAAUAAGACAAAUACAUGUGGAUCCCUUCUAACUCAGGAUCUUCUACAAUUUUAUGACUUAUCUGAAAAAAAUUAAAGGAUUAAAAAGAUCCUCAAUGAACAUGAUGUUGAUGAUGAUUAAUGUCUUACUAGCAGCAAUGAAAAUUCACCUUUCCCCAUCUGGCAGAUGACUGCCUGGUCACAAAGAUUAGUUGGUUGUCACUUUCUGCUUUGUGAGAAAAUAAAUGCUUGGUCUAGAUGGUAUUAGUUACAGUCACUCGUUCUUUGAACAUUAGCGAAUAAACUAUUGUACUGUUCUUUAAGUUGUGCUUAUCUUACUUUAGCUCACUGUCUGAUGAAGGAUAUCCUAGGAAAGAGAUGCAGAGAGAGACAAUUACAGAUCCAGCAUUACAAGAAGAUUGUUGCAGGCAGCAUGGAUGUUCAGUCUGAAUAUCCUGAUGUGCUUUAACAAAUAUAGCAAAUGAGAAUAUAUGCUGCAUGACUGCCCGUUCCUAUACUUAGUUUCCCUAAGCAAGAAGUUUUCAUACACUUCUCAGUUUGGUUUUCUUUUUACUAGCGAGAGAGUAUGAGAUUUGGGAAUACCAGGCGGUGCCUUGUCUGCUGUGUGUCAAGGACAGAAUGCAGCUCUUACCUUUGUGGCAAGAAGGAAGAUAAAAGUUAUCAGUACACCUCUUGCAGCACUAAGUGUUUUCAUUUUAACUGAACAAAAAAUAUCCAAAUAAACAAACAAUAGAAAAAGAUGCCUUUCACUCUCUUUGGUCUUCAAGACGUGGAUACAUUCUUAAUCAUCCUUGGUUUCCUGUUGUAAAUAGGAGCAACUUUGUGAUCUUCCUUAUUCCUCUUCUCUUUGGACAAAAGAGCAAGGAAAGAUUAGUCUUUUCAACUCUAACAAGCUGUUUUCUUGACAAGCCAACCAAUUACCUUUAACUGUUCUUCUUCUGGUCCACUUCCUUUUGCACUUAGCAUUUGGAAGAGCAUAGAACUGGUUUUAAGCACUGUAAGGGUUUCCUUAGCAUGCACAAAAUAUUUUGUGAGCUACAUAAUUCAUAUAAAUUAUUGUGCCUUCGAUUUAUGCAAUUUGUGUGCCUGAAAUGGAUGAUUUGUUUCAUUGACAUUACUUUAAGAAAAAAACCCUAAACAAUGUUACAAUUAAGCAUUAAUAAUUCAUACAUUUUUUAGACAUUUGUUUCAGUUAAAUAAAAUAGAAAUGUAGCCACAUAAAAAUCCAUACAUUUUUAAGCUGAUUAAAUCAAUAAAGUAUGAUCUCAUGAAAGAUUUUAUUAUUAUACUUCCUUUCUAUGGUAACUGACUUCAGAAAAGCAGUUUCUGUACCUAUUUUUGUUUUGGAACACUGCAAAACUCUAAGUGGAUUUAUUCAAGAUGAUUCAAAACAUUCUGUUACCUCAGAAUAAUUGUUUUUUUGUAAUGAUUUAUUAUUACAGAUAUUACAAAAAAAAAAAAAAAAAAGCUUAAACAUUCUAUCCAGAUGGUUUAACAUGGAUAACAGCAUCAGACUUCACAGUGGAAUAAAAUGUUUCCAUUUCUUUUUCAAAAAGUCAUUUUUUAAUUGAAAAUACGUCUAGAAUUUACAGCUUCAGAGGUAAAUCUGGAGAAAUUUGAUCCAUCUCAAUCUAUAAGACCUUCAAAAAGUAUUUGUGAGGAAACCACUACUUCAAGAAAUUGUUUUAUAUGAUUUCAGGUUUCACUGAUAAUGAAACAACUGCUGUUUAUUGGUUGGCAGCAGAAAAACAAGACAAAGGCAAAUACAUCUGAAAACACACAAAAAUAAGGAACUUUAAAAAAACUAUAUGUUCUUACAGUCUGAAUACCACCAUCUAUUGCCAGCAGCAUUACACUGAGAAGAAUUUCAUCUUUAGGUACAACAAUGAAAAUCUUCAAAAUAAAACAAACAAGACACACCUACAUAUGUUAUCUGAAUACAAUUCUUAUAUCAGUGCUUCUAAAUAACCUAGAUGCAACUAGAAUGAAAGACUACCAGUUUUUGUUAAAUUUAACUUCAUUAUGAAGUUUGCAUAAUCUGGAGCAAGACUGAUUAUAAAGACGGUUAAAUUUAACUAAAGUUUUUAGUUAAAUUCAACACAUUCACCUUCUCUUCUGAUUAAAGUAAAAUCAGAACCAGGCAAUUUAAAUAAGUAAUACUGUAUCACAGAAUUAUAAAUUAUUACAGGUGUGUCCUGGGGUGAGUUAGUGAUGCUUGUAUUCCCAUUUGUCUGUUUAGCCCAGAAAUAAAUUUUUCACCUUAAUGACUGGAUCUGAGAGCGAAGAGAGAGGAGAGAAAAAGCACAGAGUUUGUUUUCAGAAACUACAUUUGCUUGCCCGCAUCCUUCUCCUGGACUGUAUUGUCUGCAGACAGAUGGCGGGACAGAGCUCUCCUUUGCUUUUAGCAAGUAGCUAGCUGAGGCAGAGAAAUUCCCUGGACUGUAGUUGUUUUUUUUUUAUCUUAGAACUGCUUAGACCUACUCCAGACUGAACACCCAGAAGAAUGCUGGGAGCUUGCACCUGUGGCCCACCAUGCAGGGCAUGGACCAUGGCAUUUCCAGCACCAGGGGCACUGAUGAGAGGUUGAAUGAGCUGAGCUACAGCCCAUGAAGGGUCAAUUUUACACUGGAGGCAUCAAAUUCUACUGUUUAGAAUCUACAGGAUAAAGUCCACACAUCACUGUAUCCAUUGCAUCUAGUGAGAAAAAUUCAUUUUUCCUUCAUUGGAUUGGUUACCAUUGACAAUUUUUCAGCAUCUCCUGCAGAAACUGGAGUAAAUAUCAUGGGAAAGAAAAUCAAGAAGCAGCAGAUGUCAUGUGUCACUUUUACAGCUAUUGAUACUACCAUGAUUUUUCUGUGGUAUUCUCUUAGGCAAGAAGGAGAAAACACAGAAAUUACUAGAAUGCUCCAAAGCUGUCUCUGCAAAAUCUAAACCACAAAAACGGAACAACAAUAAACUUCGACCAGCAUCGUAUAAGUUAAAUUCUCAAGCGUGCAUUUAAGGUAUUAUAGGCCCAGGAUCAAGACCUUUCUUACUAUAUCUAGUCAUCAUGUAUCUUGGUUCAAUUUACUUCAGAAGUAAUAAGGGUCUAAACAAAGCAAAAGAAAGCUGUAUUUGGAAACAUUAAAUAGUGCUUUUCAGUGUAGAAAACAUGCAUAAGUAUGGGUUUAAAAUAAUUGUAAAUCAAAAUAUAAACAUAUUUCUGUAGUUCUUUGUAUUAAUAUAUGCUUUGUUGCGUAAGAUUUUUUGUUCCAUUAAUGUGACAUCUUUCUCAGAUUUAAGUUAUAACUGCAAAGAAGCUAUUAUUUCUUUAAAUGAGAGAAAAUAUCAUAUGAGGAUUACUGACAAAUCACUCAAUGUAUCAUCUUCAUGAUAUAAAUAUCUUGCACCA